rnacentral:rRNA from 1 species
UACGUAGGGUGCGAGCGUUAAUCGGAAUUACUGGGCGUAAAGGGUGCGCAGGCGGUUAUAUAAGACAGAUGUGAAAUCCCCCGGGCUCAACCUGGGAACUGCGUUUGUGACUGUAUGACUAGAGUACGGUAGAGAGGGGUGGAAUUCCUGGUGUAGCAGUGAAAUGCGUAGAUAUCAGGAGGAACACGAUGGCGAAGGCAGC